CCUGGGUUGUGCUGAUGCUGCUGCCUUGCUGAGCCAGAGUCCCUGUUCUGCUGUGGCUAGAAAGCUGCUAAUUUCAACCUGAAAAUGGCUUCAGCACAUGUGUACCUGCAGUCUGCUGCAAGAAUGCUCUCCUGCUAUCCAGAAGGACAGGCUUGGCAAUCAGAUAAAAGAUGGUUCUCGGAGUAAGGCUUAUAGUAAUCAUUGACAAAUUCCACUCACCAUAGUGCCUAAUCUGCCAUGUGCACAUUUCUUGCAUGGGGCAUGUGGCUCAUGAUAUUUUUGGAGUAGCUACUUCCUAAGACUUGUGUAAACUUCUCCAAGAUGCUUUUCAGGAAUCUAGCAUCACACUUUUCUUUUGGGUACGCAUAAAGCAAACAUCCACUUGGGCAAGGUGGAACCCAAUGGUGAGUUGUACCUUACUCCAAAUAGCCAGAGUUUCUUGUUGGUUUUCUGGUUCUGAAGCUGAAUACCUUCUAAUGAUGAGAUUUUUCUUACUUUGAAUAUAGUACAUGAACAAAAGGAUUCAGUUGCCUAAACAUUGGUCAAUUGUGCGGAAGCUGAGUAUUGAAGAUGAUAAUGCAUUCCCCUACAGUACGCUUUUUUCUACCACUGGUUCUUUCUAACACAGUCAGACACGGAAUCAUCAAGUGGCUAAUAGAGAUUAUAUCAAUAGCACUACAUGAGGAUCUUUCAUCACACAGGAUAUUUAAACAAAGAGCCUCCAAGGGACCAACUGGGUCAAACACCACUGAAGGUCUUUGAACACAGCACUUGUGACAUAAAAACAGAAUUGUACAGCUGGUAAUGUGCUGAAUGUUGAACAGCAUGUGGCCAGGACACGACUUUUCCAGGAAUAAUACAGCUCAUGAGCCAAAGGGCUAGCUAAUAACUGAAAGUACGCACUAAAAUCAGGCUAAAAGGUCUUACCUUCAGAGAUCCUUCUCGACUUCAGAGAAUGAUACAACUAAGGCAGUUACUCUGUUUUAGGAUCAGUAUACAGAAAACUGCUUCAUAUGUUGACAACUUAGUAAGUCAUUGGUCCAAAGACCUGUAGGAUGUCACAAAGAUGAGCGUUUUGAAAGACUAACCCCCUAAACUUGUGCAGUUGUAUAUUGCAGUGGAACAGCCUUACUUCCAAAGCUUUACACCUCUUUUCAAGGAGAGAAACAUUCAUCCUGUUUUCAACAAUAUUGUGCUAUUCUAUUUGAGACCAUUAAUAAGUUAUCUUUUGGGGCUGUAGGAUUCUACAGAGAAUUCCAUGUUUGUGUUAGAUUCAGUACAAAUGCAGGAGCUUUGCAAGAUAUAAAUGUAGUUUUUGUUUGCACUGCUUUGAUAGGUAAAGAAAACUUUAAUGUUCCUAUUUGAAACAAACUCAGAGCAAAACUAAAAUUCUAUUAUUAUGCAAGACAAGUACAUAAUUAGUUUCACAGUUGGAGAAUCAAGUCAUAACUGAAUCUAUAUUUAUACAUUUCUACUUAAAUUCAGUCUAAUAUUUUUCUAGAGAAGGUGUGAAAAAGGCAAGAGGAUACAUAAUGGGGUUGAGAUCAGAUUACACUGAAAGAACAAUUUAUUCCCAGUCUGGAAAGAUAAAAAUUAUUUUGAUUUUUCUACAUAUUUUUUUUUCUAUCUGCUGUAUAGAUUAUGGUAUAAUAUUACAUCAAUUACAUCAUUAUGUUCUGUAAUGUGUAUUUAUGUAAUUAUUAUUAAUCAUACCAUAUUAUUUAGUAUAUCAAAUUGCAUUGUAAUUACUUUCUUCCUUAUACCCUGAAGAAAACAUCAGAGUGAUAUGUGACUCCCUAAAAGUGGAAUAAAUGGAGCUAGUUAUAUUUUCAGCAUAAUCGGGUAACUUCUUCCUCCUGACUUGAAAUAACUGCAAGGCCCAGCCAGAAGCCAGUGUUUACUUAAUAUUUGAGUCACUUCAGUGUAGUAGGGUAUACCACUUGGUAUCUACAGAAUAUUGCAAAAGAAAACAAUUCCAGUCUGCUUCUGUUCUUAUCUGCUACAGAAAAUGUAUGCUUGUAUUUCAUUUUUAAAUGCAGCACUUCAUAUACUCCCUCAAGCAGGUGAUAUGAACAAAGCCAACAGUUUGGAACCUACAUAAAUCAAAUGUGAACAACCUUUGUGAAGGGUGUAACCAUACGCUAUGAAAAAUAUAGUAUGUGGGUGGGAGAUAAACUGCUCUUAAGCCUCACAGUAAAAAAUUAGUUGUGGAUUUAUUUUACAGAGGAAGCACGGAAACAGUGAGUUAACUGUUGUAUACCCUGUAGUGAAUUCAGCUAGUAACACUUGAACUGUGGUUGCAGCAUGAUGCUGACUUCCCUUCUAAAAACUGUCUGUCAGAUACAUCUGCUGCAGCUGUACAUUCAUAGUCAGUUUGAUGGCCUCAUUCUGCACCCAUCCUGUAUGAGGAGGCUUUUAAUAGAAGCUGGCUAAGCUUCUAUAUAGAAGGGAUACAGAUCCAGGCAUGGAAAUAGCGGUGAUCUCUGAUAAGAAGAAUAUGCCAAUGUUAAAAUGAGGAAUUCUUUAGACUUUGCUGGGACUAGGUCCAUCUGCAAAAGUUUUGCAUCUCUCUGUUGUGAGGUCUGCACUUUUUCUUGUUCCUCAAGGCAAGGUGCUUAUAGGUGAGGGGAUGUUGCUGGCUGCUGAGCAAUGAGAGCUCAAUUUAUAGAAACUGCCAGCCUCCAGCCAGCAGUAAGUAAUUGUGGGAGUGAGAAGCAACAGGUAAAAGAGUUUCUAGCCUAGCAAAGGGGGAUCUUGGUUAGAAACUGAAGGCUUUGCUUUGAGGAGCAGGCUUUCAGAACUGGUUAUGUCUUAUCAAAUAGCUAUUGGAUUAAAAAUCAGAAAUGCUCCUGAAAUCAGAGCCCCAAACUCUGGCCUGCUUUUUUGCAAUCUUGUAGCUGGGCUGAGGGGAAGAUAAUCCCCCUGCUCCAGCCUCAUCCUCUGUACUUUGUGCAGAACUGGAGCUCAGCUGUGUGCUGUAUGCUUCUGGGUCAGGACUUGAGUGCUCUGAUUAAACUGUCCGACUUGGCAGUGCUCCUCAGCUCUGCAUCAAGAUGUGUCCCAGGAGCUUCCCAGAUCCAUGUGGAAACCUAGGUACAAGGAAAGGAGAUCUGGGCGAACAGGCUGGUGGGAGUUGCAGUGAGUGCCAGAUAUGUCUUGGCUCUAGGCUUGCUGGGGUCUGAGCUGCAGCUGUGCUCUGGGCAGCACUGCCCACACAGCUCCAAAGAGAGAGACUCGGGCUUCUGGGUUAGCUUUGAGCAGUCAUGAAACAACUUGCAUCUUGGGCUCAGGCCCUUUUGAAAGGGGCAAAAAAGACAUUUCAAGAAAGGAGAGGCUUUUGGGUGUUUGGUUCUUUCUAAGGAUGAAGCCUUCAACUGUCAUGAUCCUGUUUUCAUAUGAGAGAACUGGAAGCAGUUCAGUUUUGUUCUUUAGGUAAUGCAUUUUGUGGACUGCUUAGGUCUGUGUGUUGAUAAGUAACAUACUGGGAUGCAAAUAUUUUACAUGAACGUGCAUGUAAAAAGAAGCGUCAUUAAAAGGGAAGGCUCAAGAAACUAGAGAUGAAACAUCAAUCCUUUUUUAUCAAAUGACAAUUAAUUUCCCUUCUAGAACUUGGAUUUAACUGAUUAUAAAUGCAUUUUACUCUAAGGACUAAUUUAGCAACUGGGUCAGUGGCUACAAUACCAACCUCAUCAGUUAUGUGAUGGAUAAAGGCAUCUGACACUACCUUCUCUCUUUGAAAGGUUUCCAGCAGAUUCUUCUGUCACGUUGUGACUGCGUUCGAUCUGUAGCUUUCAAAAACAAUAAAACAUGUAAUGACUUUGUUCUUGAUAAAUAUGCAGCAUUACCAACUACAGAAAAGUCUUCCCUGAAGCGUAAUACUCUCAUUUAUUGUUAUUCAGAGUAAUAGUAUUUCCUCAUAAUAAUUUAUUAAAGUUGGUGUAAAUGAA